CCUACGGGUGGCAGCAGUUGGGAAUAUUGCACAAUGGGGGAAACCCUGCUGCAGCAACGCCGCGUGAGUGAUGACGGCCUUCGGGUUGUAAAGCUCUGUCUUCAGGGACGAUACUGACUGUACCUGAGGAGUAAUCCUCGGCUAACUACGUGCCAGCAGCCGCGGUACUACGUAGGUGGCGAGCGUUGUCCGGAUUUACUGGGCGUAAAGUGAGCGUAGGCGGACUUUUAAGUCAGAUGGGAAAGACUCGUGCUAAACUGGAGUGGUGCAUUUGAAACUGGAAGUCUAGAGUGCAGGAGAGGAGAAUGGAAGUCCUAGUGUAGAGGUGAAAUGCGUAGAGAUUAGGAAGAAAACCAGUGGCGAAGGCGAUUCUCUGGACUGUAACUGACGCUGAGGUUCGAAAGCGUGGGGAGCAAACAGGAUUAGAUACCCUGGUAGUC
rnacentral:rRNA from 1 species